rfam:Bombyx mori DNA, contig: Bm_scaf55_contig27809, strain: p50T/Dazao, build 2, whole genome shotgun sequence.
UUAACUCAAAUUUGUAUGGAGUUGGAACGUUUGCCUACGUUUGCCGCUAGGGGCGCUGUUCCAACUGUAAACAAAUCUGAGUUG